ACAAGCGGUGGAGCAUGUGGUUAAUUCGACGCAACGCGAAGAACCUUACCUGGCUGACAUCCCGAUCGCACCUUAUGGAAACAUAGGGGUCAGUUCGGCUGGAUCGGUGACAGGUGCUGCAUGGCUGUCGUCAGCUCGUGUCGUGAGAUGUUGGGUUAAGUCCCGCAACGGGCGCAACCCUUGUCCUUAGUUGCCAGCAUUCAGUUGGGCACUCUAAGGAGACUGCCGGUGUCAAACCGGAGGAAGGUGGGGAUGACGUCAAGUCCUCAUGGCCCUUAUGUCCAGGGCUACACACGUGCUACAAUGGCCGGUACAAAGGGGCGCAAGACCGCGAGGUGGAGCAAAUCCCAAAAAACCGGUCUCAGUUCGGAUUGGAGUCUGCAACUCGACUCCAUGAAGUUGGAAUCGCUAGUAAUCGCGUAUCAGCAUGACGCGGUGAAUACGUUCCCGGGCCUU
rnacentral:rRNA from 1 species